rnacentral:rRNA from 1 species
AUUGAACGCUGGCGGCAUGCUUUACACAUGCAAGUCGAACGGUAACAGGUUAAGCUGACGAGUGGCGAACGGGUGAGUAAUGUAUCGGAACGUGCCCGGUCGUGGGGGAUAACGCAGCGAAAGCUGCGCUAAUACCGCAUACGAUCUGAGGAUGAAAGCGGGGGACCGUAAGGCCUCGCGCGAUCGGAGCGGCCGUUGUCAGAUUAGGUAGUUGGUGGGGUAAAGGCUCACCAAGCCAACGAUCUGUAGCUGGUCUGAGAGGACGACCAGCCACACUGGGACUGAGACACGGCCCAGACUCCUACGGGAGGCAGCAGUGGGGAAUUUUGGACAAUGGGCGAAAGCCUGAUCCAGCAAUGCCGCGUGCAGGAAGAAGGCCUUCGGGUUGUAAACUGCUUUUGUACGGAGCGAAAAGGUCUCCUCUAAUACAGGGGGCUCAUGACGGUACCGUAAGAAUAAGCACCGGCUAACUACGUGCCAGCAGCCGCGGUAA